GAUGAACGCUAGCGGCAGGCCUAACACAUGCAAGUCGAGGGAGGAGCUUUCGGGCUUCGACCGGCGUACGGGUGCGUAACGCGUAUACAAUCUGCCUUUCACAUAGGGAUAGCCCGAAGAAAUUUGGAUUAAUACCUAAUGGUAUAUAGAGGUGGCAUCACCUUUAUAUUAAAGCUGAGGCGGUGAAAGAUGAGUAUGCGUUCUAUUAGCUAGUUGGAGAGGUAACGGCUCCCCAAGGCGACGAUAGAUAGGGGUUCUGAGAGGGAUAUCCCCCACACUGGUACUGAGAUACGGACCAGACUCCUACGGGAGGCAGCAGUGAGGAAUAUUGGACAAUGGUCGGAAGACUGAUCCAGCCAUGCCGCGUGCAGGAAGACGGCCUUAUGGGUUGUAAACUGCUUUUGCAGGGGAAGAAUAAGGACUACGCGUAGUUUGAUGACGGUACUCUGCGAAUAAGCAUCGGCUAACUCCGU
rnacentral:rRNA from 1 species